CAAUAGCGUAUAUUAAAGUUGUUGCAGUUAAAAAGCUCGUAGUUGGAUUUCUGUUCUUGGGAUCUGGUCCGCCUCACGGUGAGCACUGGAUAACUGGGGACAUCCUCUCGAAGGCGGCAGGUGCACUUGAUUGUGUGUUUGUUGAAUUCGGGACCUUUACUUUGAAAAAAUUAGAGUGUUCAAAGCAGGCAUCGGCUUGAAUACAUUAGCAUGGAAUAAUGGAAUAGGACUUUGGUUCUAUUUUGUUGGUUUCUAGGACCGAAGUAAUGAUUAAUAGGGACAGUUGGGGGCAUUAGUAUUUAAUUGUCAGAGGUGAAAUUCUUGGAUUUAUGAAAGACUAACUACUGCGAAAGCAUUUGCCAAGGAUGUUUUCAUUAA
rnacentral:rRNA from 1 species